rnacentral:siRNA from 1 species
CCACCAUUCUAUCGUAUUGUC